GACAGAGGUGCCAAGCGUUAGGCGGAAUCACUGGGCUUAAAGCGUGUGUAGGCGGGUCGUUAAGUCUGAUGUGAAAGCCCUGGGCUCAACCUGGGAAUGGCAUUGGAAACUGGCGAUCUAGAGUGCGGUAGAGGGUAGUGGAAUUCCCGGUGUAGCAGUGAAAUGCGUAGAGAUCGGGAGGAACAUCUGUGGCGAAGGCGACUGCCUGGACCAGCACUGACACUGAGGCACGAAAGCGUGGGGAGCAAACAGG
rnacentral:rRNA from 1 species